rnacentral:lncRNA from 1 species
CCUCUUCUUCUUUGUUCCCCUCUGUAUCUUCUCUUUUCUUUCCUAAACCAGCUUAUCUUAUUCAAACCACAGACAUCUCUGCCUUUCCAGUUUUCCUCAAACAACUUAUCUCAUUCAAAAUUCAAAUUCAUUAUUUCCCCAAAACAGAUCUCCAAAACAAAUUCCAAAACCCAAAGAGAGAAGAGAUGAAAGUUGAAGGGAUUCAGGCGAUUUGGUUUUAAUCUACUCAUUCGGAUCCGAUUUGGUGCCUUCACUCGAUUAGCAAUCAUCGGCGUUUCACUGUAUCUGGUGAAAGUAGUGAAAUCAAAUCAGAGAUGGAUAGGGUUUCCAUUAGUGAUCUCCCGUUGGAUGUUCCUUCAAGAACAGGUUUGUAUGUCUCAUCUACGAUCAGAUCUGCAUCAACAGUAGGCGUUUUCGGUAGAGAUGAAAUUCCAGCACUGAUCACGAUUACCUGUGCCUGAUUUGGUGGGGUUAAACCCAUACUGCAGCGUCAUAUCAGAUUCCGGUCAGGCUAGGGUUCCAGUGAGUACUUAGUGCCUCACGACUACUCUGGCUACGACCUUGGUUUUCCGGCGACUAGCGGUUUAAUUCCGGUGAAUAGAUACCAAACCAAAAAGGCUUGAUAACAAAACCAGUGAUGAAGAGCAGUCAGACUAACCAUAGAUUGAAACAGCCAAUGUGAACAGAGCAACUCUAAAGUGGAUGUUAAAAGGAUUAAUAGGGAUGCAGCUGCUCUUGCUGAAUUUUUGUCUUGGCUGGAGGAGGAAAUAAACAAAGACAUGCCUGUCACAGAGGUAGAAGUUGCAGACGAACUUCAUGAGCUUUGCACAAGUCUAGCUGGUUGUUAAGAGAAAAAAAUGAACUAAAAUUCAUUUUUUAUGGUAUUUGGAUCCAUGUUCUUUAAAGAUGAUUGAAAUGUUUAAUGGAUUUUUGGCAACAAGAAAAUAAUUAAGCUCAUGCGCCAUUGCCGUUGAAAAGCUAUGCAGUUACUAUUUACCUUUUUGUAUACAGUUUAACUGUUUAUACACAUCUUUCUGUUCUGCGUGUAUUAUAUACCCUGAUA